AUUGAACGCUGGCGGCAGGCUUAACACAUGCAAGUCGCGCGGAGAUGAGGUGCUUGCACCUUAUCUUAGCGGCGGACGGGUGAGUAAUGCUUAGGAAUCUGCCUAUUAGUGGGGGACAACAUUCCGAAAGGAAUGCUAAUACCGCAUACGCCCUACGGGGGAAAGCAGGGGAUCUUCGGACCGUGCGCUAAUAGAUGAGCCUAAGUCGGAUUAGCUAGUUGGUGGGGUAAAGGCCUACCAAGGCGACGAUCUGUAGCGGGUCUGAGAGGAUGAUCCGCCACACUGGGACUGAGACACGGCCCAGACUCCUACGGGAGGCAGCAGUGGGGAAUAUUGGACAAUGGGCGGAGGCCUGAUCCAGCCAUGCCGCGUGUGUGAAGAAGGCCUUUUGGUUGUAAAGCACUUUAAGCGAGGAGGAGGCUACCUGGAUUAAUACUCUAGGAUAGUGGACGUUACUCGCAGAAUAAGCACCGGCUAACUCUGUGCCAGCAGCCGCCGUAACAC
rnacentral:rRNA from 1 species